AGCCAGCAGCCGCGGUAAUACAGAGGGUGCGAGCGUUGUCCGGAAUCACUGGGCGUAAAGGGCGCGUAGGCGGCGCGGUCAGCGUGCGGUGAAAGCUCGGGGCUCAACUCCGAGUCGGCCGUGCGAACUGCCGUGCUUGAGCACACUAGAGGCGGAUGGAAUUCCGGGUGUAGCGGUGGAAUGCGUAGAGAUCCGGAAGAACACCGGUGGCGAAGGCGGUCCGCUGGGGUGGUGCUGACGCUGAGGCGCGACAGCGUGGGGAGCAAACAGGAUUAGAUACCCUGGUAGUCCACGCCGUAAACGAUGGGCACUAGGUGCUUGGGGGAGCGACCCCCUGAGUGCCGGCGCUAACGCAUUAAGUGCCCCGCCUGGGGAGUACGGCCGCAAGGCUGAAACUCAAAGGAAUUGACGGGGGCCCGCACA
rnacentral:rRNA from 1 species